CAAAAGUGCACUCAGUGUAAGCGGCAGCUUUUCUGCCUGUCAUAACUGAGAAGGAGAGUCACUUUUUCAUGCCUGGUAAACGCUGGCUUCAGGGCAGAUGAAAGCUGAAGUGGCAAAGGAGGAGGGAAAUUAUUGAUGGACAGAGUGCAGAGACUGGAACUUGUCUUGCUGGGGUCAGCGGUGAACCUCACUGGAGUAUCAAUAUCCAGGAACCAAAUGCAGAUAAUGUGCAGACUGGGACAGAGCAAAGAAAAUUAAAUCAUGAAAACUCCAAGAAGAUCUUCACUUCAAUUUAAACCUGGAUUUGUGGAACUCUGGAGAAUAAUGUCAAGAUUUUCAUUUUUCAUAA